UACGGAGGGUGCAAACGUUGCUCGGAAUCAUUGGGCGUAAAGCGCGCGUAGGCGGCUAGAUUAGUCGGAUGUGAAAGCCCUCGGCUUAACCGGGGAAGUGCAUUCGAAACUGUCUAGCUUGAGUAUGGGAGAGGGUUGCGGAAUUCCCGGUGUAGAGGUGAAAUUCGUAGAUAUCGGGAGGAACACCAGAGGCGAAGGCGGCAGCCUGGACCAAUACUGACGCUGAGGUGCGAAAGCGUGGGGAGCAAACAGG
rnacentral:misc_RNA from 1 species